AGGUGUGGGUUUCCUUCCUUGGGAUCCGUGCCGUAGCUAACGCAUUAAGUACCCCGCCUGGGGAGUACGGCCGCAAGGCUAAAACUCGAAGGAAUUGACGGGGGCCCGCACAAGCGGCGGAGCAUGUGGAUUAAUUCGAUGCAACGCGAAGAACCUUACCUGGGUUUGACAUGCACAGGACGCGUCUAGAGAUAGGCGUUCCCUUGUGGCCUGUGUGCAGGUGGUGCAUGGCUGUCGUCAGCUCGUGUCGUGAGAUGUUGGGUUAAGUCCCGCAACGAGCGCAACCCUUGUCUCAUGUUGCCAGCACGUAAUGGUGGGGACUCGUGAGAGACUGCCGGGGUCAACUCGGAGGAAGGUGGGGAUGACGUCAAGUCAUCAUGCCCCUU
rnacentral:rRNA from 1 species